rnacentral:tRNA from 1 species
GGGGUUGUGGCUCAGUGGUAGAGCGCUUGCUGGCAAGUAUGAGGCAUUGGGUUUGAUCCUCAGCACCACA